rnacentral:rRNA from 1 species
AUUGAACGCUGGCGGCAGGCCUAACACAUGCAAGUCGAAUGGUAACAGGAAACAGCUUGCUGUUUCGCUGACGAGUGGCGGACGGGUGAGUAAUGUCUGGGAAACUGCCUGAUGGAGGGGGAUAACUACUGGAAACGGUAGCUAAUACCGCAUAACGUCGCAAGACCAAAGAGGGGGACCUUCGGGCCUCUUGCCAUCAGAUGUGCCCAGAUGGGAUUAGCUAGUAGGUGGGGUAACGGCUCACCUAGGCGACGAUCCCUAGCUGGUCUGAGAGGAUGACCAGCCACACUGGAACUGAGACACGGUCCAGACUCCUACGGGAGGCAGCAGUGGGGAAUAUUGCACAAUGGGCGCAAGCCUGAUGCAGCCAUGCCGCGUGUAUGAAGAAGGCCUUCGGGUUGUAAAGUACUUUCAGCGGGGAGGAAGGGAGUAAAGUUAAUACCUUAGCUCAUUGACGUUACCCGCAGAAGAAGCACCGGCUAACUCCGUG